rnacentral:sRNA from 1 species
CCAGGACCCUCAGGGGCGGCACGUAAAAACCUAUGAGGUGUCUCUCCGAGAAAAGGAAUUCAAUAAGGGCCCUUGGAAACAGGAAAAUGUCGAAGCUGAAGCUUCCAUGGUGAUCGCAGUCCCAGAGCCCUUUGGGGGGGCCAUCAUCAUUGGACAGGAGUCAAUCACCUAUCACAAUGGUGACAAAUACCUGGCUAUUGCCCCUCCUAUCAUCAAGCAAAGCACGAUUGUGUGCCACAAUCGAGUGGACCCUAAUGGCUCAAGAUACCUGCUGGGAGACAUGGAAGGCCGGCUCUUCAUGCUGCUUUUGGAGAAGGAGGAACAGAUGGAUGGCACCGUCACUCUCAAGGAUCUCCGUGUAGAACUCCUUGGAGAGACCUCUAUUGCUGAGUGCUUGACAUACCUUGAUAAUGGUGUUGUGUUUGUCGGGUCUCGCCUGGGUGACUCCCAGCUUGUGAAGCUCAACGUUGACAGUAAUGAACAAGGCUCCUAUGUAGUGGCCAUGGAAACCUUUACCAACUUAGGACCCAUUGUCGAUAUGUGCGUGGUGGACCUGGAGAGGCAGGGGCAGGGGCAGCUGGUCACUUGCUCUGGGGCUUUCAAGGAAGGUUCUUUGCGGAUCAUCCGGAAUGGAAUUGGAAUCCACGAGCAUGCCAGCAUUGACUUACCAGGCAUCAAAGGUAGCUUUUUUGGUGGACAUAGGAUGCAGAUCUUACAUGAGGGACUUUGGCCUUGUUACAUGUUGUGAAGGCGUUUUGGUGGGAGCCAGAGGAAAGCAGAUCAAGUGAAGAGUGAAAGUCGUAACAACAGAUCAGAAGCUUAAACAUAUCUGAAAGUAUAAAAGUAAACUUUAGAAAAAAAAAAAAGAAAAUACUACUGAUCAAAAUUGGUAGUGGAAUAGAGGACUAGGGGAUUAAAAGAUUAUAAAUUAAAAUUAAUGUUUAUAUGAGGCAACUGAUAGAAUUCAUAAAGAAAGGAGAGACUGAGGAUAUUUUAUGAAGAUAUAAGUAUAAAU